AUUAGAGUGGCAUAGCGGAAGCGUGGUGGGCCCAUAACCCACAGGUUCUAGGAUUGAAACCUAGCUCUAAUA
rnacentral:tRNA from 1 species